rnacentral:lncRNA from 1 species
GUUCAUCUUUUCCUGUCGUCAUGUCAAUUUGCAUGACUUGAACCUGAAGAGCUGGAAGAUGUUCCUGUCUCCCAGGACAGCUGUGUAGCCUCUAUUUCGGGCACUCUUUUGGACCCUUUCAGAAGAAGGUGAGCUGACAACGCAGACUAAAACAGUGAGGAUCAAGGCAUGAAAGUUCAAGGACAGUGAAGGAGAACAAACGUUCAGUGGAGAAGCAGAGCUGCUAUAGUGCCUACACCUGCGUGUUCUCCUCCACGUCUGUGUACUGUUAGCAGGGUCCGGGAGAUGUGUGGUGUCUCGCGCCAAGAAAAGAGUCAGCCUUUUUUCUGAGAGAGAGAACAACCUGCGUUGCAUUUUGAGAAGGCUCUCAGGCACUAUAAUGCAAAGACAGAUUGCCGCAUGGUGUGUACUGAGACGAGUAUUUCAUACUCAGUCCUACUGCGGAGAAACAGCCAUUUCCUAACAAUUUGUGCAAGUCUCGACUUACCUGAGACAGGAUGAGCUGAUUAUUCCGACUGAGCUUCUUCAAAUGCCUUCCUGCAUUGGUCAGACGCUGCAUGCUUCAGUCAGUCGUGAUUUAGCCAAUUCUUGACCUCCAACUUGUAAUCCAUCAAUAAGUAAUGUCCAGCUGCGCUCUUCGGAAUACUAGAAGGAACACAUUGGAGCCCAUUCCUUGUGAGGCAGAGUCCAAACGCUCCCCAGGAUGGUAUUUGAUCAACUGCUUGGAUAACCUCUCUACGUUUGCUGCUCCCUCUCCCUUUUAUUUCAGUGAUCGUUCCUGUAACUGCAAAAGACGUUCAAAACCAUCUAAAAAGCUGGUGCAUCGACGCCUUACCAGCUUCAGCACUGCGACGCGAUGAGCCCAGUGACGAGUGGGCUGCUCCAUGGAUAACGUGGUGUGUUCCCCUGCCUGUAUGUAGGAGAAGGUCCAGCUAGCAAGCCAGAAUCGAGGAAUUCAAAGAAACAGAGAAGAAGAUACUGUACGUUGAGUUGGAGGCUUUUUUGGAGACUGCAUCCAUCUGGAAUUGAAAGAAAACAGCGGUGCCAUUUUUCUGAGUUUGUCAAAACACAGCUCUAGCUGUUGCAAGCAAAUGAGAGUUGAAGGUCAGAGUGUCAAUUCUUCUGGAGUUACGACGCGUUUUUAAUCAUCUUACGGCAUCUAGACUCACAACAGGCGAAACGUAGCGGAGGAGGAGGAAGAUGGGGACGUAAUUCAGAAGAUACGUUUGGAGCAGCUGUCCUUCUGGUUGACAGAAGGACUAGACAAAAAGAAUGUUCUCCAGGCCUUCAGCAAUCUCCGACUCAAGGACUUUGUGAAUCAGAGGCAGUGUCUGCUUAUUAGGAGACCAAAAAGACUAAUUGCCAUGAAUUUGACAAGUUGUUUCUAGAGCCUGCGUGAACUUCUGGUGUCCACAACAUCCUAUAUCAAAAAGUGCUUCAGCGUCAUGACUCGGUGAGUGAAGAAUUAUCAGUUUUUGCUUCUUUUGAACCUCCCAGCAUGUAAUUUCAUUUGCUG